rnacentral:rRNA from 1 species
AAUCAACGCUGGCGGCGUGCCUAACACAUGCAAGUCGAACGCGAAAGUCCCGCAAGGGAUCAGUAGAGUGGCAAACGGGUGAGUAACACGUGGGUGACCUGCCCUCAGCUCUGGGAUAAGCCUGGGAAACCGGGUCUAAUACCGGAUAUGACUCCAUGACGCAUGUUGUGGGGUGGAAAGCCUUGUGCGGCUGAGGAUGGGCCCGCGGCCUAUCAGCUGUUGGUGGGGUGAUGGCCUACCAAGGCGACGACGGGUAGCCGGCCUGAGAGGGCGACCGGCCACACUGGGACUGAGACACGGCCCAGACUCCUACGGGAGGCAGCAGUGGGGAAUCUUGCGCAAUGGGCGAAAGCCUGACGCAGCGACGCCGCGUGAGGGAUGACGGCCUCGG